CACGUAGGGGGCGAGCGUUGUCCGGAUUUAUUGGGCGUAAAGAGCUCGUAGGCGGUUUGUUGCGUCGGCCGUGAAAACCUGCAGCUUAACUGUGGGCCUGCGGCCGAUACGGGCAGACUUGAGUUCGGUAGGGGAGACUGGAAUUCCUGGUGUAGCGGUGAAAUGCGCAGAUAUCAGGAGGAACACCGAUGGCGAAGGCAGGUCUCUGGGCCGAUACUGACGCUGAGGAGCGAAAGCGUGGGGAGCGAACAGG
rnacentral:rRNA from 1 species